rnacentral:rRNA from 1 species
AUGAAGUACGAGGAUUGGGACGACAAAGACGACCGACUACGGCUCCCCACUUGGGUUCACAAGUGGGAUGUGUUAAAUGAGACGACGGAUGACCCCUCGGACAUGUACAAGUUGUACAAGAGCGAGCUGGACGCGAUCACGCCUGAGCGGGUGGAAUGGGAGUCGUAUGAAAAAGGAGAGAGUUUUGUUAACCCUAUAGAGUUCAGGCUGAAUCCGAUGUGCACUAGGGAUAGGGAUCUCUGGCAUAUGCGGUGCCCACUAAUAUGCAACUGGGCGGUUGAGCUUCACCUGCCACAUCGGGUGUUCCGCCAGUUUAGUUUGUUCUAG